CAUCUCUCAGGGUUGCACCUCGAGAGUUUCCAGUACUCUACCAAUCUUCACUAUGGGAGGGAGAGUUAAGCAGAGGCAUAACCAUUCCAUUCCUAGCUUGGCCAGUGGCUAGUGAAUGGAAGACAAUCUGCUACAAGU
rnacentral:snoRNA from 1 species